AUGUGUCAGGAGAAAUUGGUACAAGAAGCCGUGGAUACACUUAUUAGUAAUCCUUUUUAGAAAUCGAAUGGAUUCGGUCUUAUACAUACGCG
rnacentral:tRNA from 1 species